GACGUAGGAUGCAAGCGUUAUCCGGAAUGAUUGGGCGUAAAGCGUCCGCAGGUGGCAGUUCAAGUCUGCUGUCAAAGACCGGGGCUUAACUUCGGAAAGGCAGUGGAAACUGAACAGCUAGAGUAUGGUAGGGGCAGAGGGAAUUCCUGGUGUAGCGGUGAAAUGCGUAGAGAUCAGGAAGAACAUCGGUGGCGAAGGCGCUCUGCUGGACCAUAACUGACACUCAGGGACGAAAGCGAGGGGAGCGAAUGGG
rnacentral:rRNA from 1 species